rnacentral:misc_RNA from 1 species
GAUGAAGAACGCAGCGAAAUGCGAUAAGUAAUGUGAAUUGCAGAAUCCAGUGAAUCAUCGAAUCUUUGAACGCACAUUGCGCCCGCCAGUAUUCUGGCGGGCAUGCCUGUUCGAGCGUCAUUUCAACCAUCAAGCCCUGCUUGCGUUGGGGUCCUGCGGCUGCCCGCAGGCCCUGAAAACCAGUGGCGGGCUCGCUAGUCACACCGAGCGCAGUAAUACAUCUCGCUUUGGGCGUGCGGCGGGUUCUUGCCGUUAAACACCCCCUUUUUACCAAGGUUGACCUCGGAUCAGGUAGGAAUACCCGCUGAACUUAAGCAUAUCAAUAACGGAGGA